GACGAACGCUGGCGGCGUGCCUAACACAUGCAAGUCGAACGGAAAGGCCCUGCUCUUGUGGGGUGCUCGAGUGGCGAACGGGUGAGUAACACGUGAGUAACCUGCCCUUGACUUUGGGAUAACUUCAGGAAACUGGGGCUAUUACCGGAUAGGAGCUCCUGCUGCAUGGGGGGGGUUGGAAAGUUUCGGCGGUUGGGGAUGGACUCGCGGCUUAUCAGCUUGUUGGUGGAGUAGUGGCUUACCAAGGCUUUGACGGGUAGCCGGCCUGAGAGGGUGAACGGGCACAUGGGGACUGAGGUACGGCCCAGACUGCUACGGGAGGCAGCGGUGGAGAGUAUUGCACAGUGGGCGGAAGCCAGAUGCAGCAACGCCGCGUGCGGGAUGACGGCCUUCGGGGUGUAAACCGCUUUCGCCUGUGACGAAGCGUGAGUGACGGUAAUGGGUAAAGAAGCACCGGCUAACUACGUG
rnacentral:rRNA from 1 species